UUCCGUAGGGGGAACCUGCGGAGGGAUCAUUACACAAAUAUGAAGGCGGGCUGGAACCUCUCGGGGUUACAGCCUUGCUGAAUUAUUCACCCUUGUCUUUUGCGUACUUCUUGUUUCCUUGGUGGGUUCGCCCACCACUAGGACAAACAUAAACCUUUUGUAAUUGCAAUCAGCGUCAGUAACAAAUUAAUAAUUACAACUUUCAACAACGGAUCUCUUGGUUCUGGCAUCGAUGAAGAACGCAGCGAAAUGCGAUAAGUAGUGUGAAUUGCAGAAUUCAGUGAAUCAUCGAAUCUUUGAACGCACAUUGCGCCCUUUGGUAUUCCAAAGGGCAUGCCUGUUCGAGCGUCAUUUGUACCCUCAAGCUUUGCUUGGUGUUGGGCGUCUUGUCUCUAGCUUUGCUGGAGACUCGCCUUAAAGUAAUUGGCAGCCGGCCUACUGGUUUCGGAGCGCAGCACAAGUCGCACUCUCUAUCAGCAAAGGUCUAGCAUCCAUUAAGCCUUUUUUUCAACUUUUGACCUCGGAUCAGGUAGGGAUACCCGCUGAACUUAAGCAUAUCAAUAAGCGGAGGA
rnacentral:rRNA from 1 species